UAUAGCUCAUAAUUUCGAAGAAGUGUUUUUCUUUACACUUAAAGAAUGGCAAUGCCUGCAGUUCUAAAAAGGUGACAUUUGAAGUGAGCCCUGGGUUGGUCUCAGAACAAAUCUGCCUUUUCUCACUCCUGAUCCGAAAGGAGCAGAGCUCUAAUUCACUGCAGCAGCUCUUGCUGGUCUGCCAAGUGACUUUGACUGGAGCUGCUCCAACGGGCUGCUUGCUUCCAUGUGCUGUAGGCCACAGACAAUUCCCAUAACAGAAGCAUCACAGCAAAGUAUGUUUUCCAUUUUCCUGUGGGAGUUUGUUUCCGUUUCUCUUUAUUGCCCACUUGGAAGAGAAGACUGGCAGAAACAUUUUGCAGAGAUUAAAUACAGCUGCAUCUCAGUUUGUAUUCAUAGCUUCUGUCCAGUGCUCGGGGUGCUUCAGUGUCAGCUGAAAUAUCUCUGUAUCUUCUCAAAUGUUUUUCAAUCUCCAUUUGUUCAGUCUUAGCCUUCUGAAACCAGUUCUCUGGUCUCCACUCUUCCCAUCUGCAUUUCCUGAAGAUUUUGGAACUGCUGGAACCGCAUUUAUUUUGGGGGAAAAGUAGCUGCAUUGGGCAAAACGGGAAGUCAGUACUCAACAGCGUGUUGUCACAUCUCAUCUUGGCAGCGGCUAUGAUAUAAUGAAAGAUAAGGUUCUCCAUCUCACUGGGAUCCCAGGUACCCCUUCUGCUUUAUGAAGAGAGGUGGCCCAAGGCAAUUAAGGUGCUUGUGCCAUUCCUCUGCAGUUGUGUACAGCAUUUGCCAGCCUGAACUGAAAGCUGUGCUGCUGUCUGCAUGCAAUGGGAAGCUGCAUAGUAAAGCAUUGUCUCCAAGGAUGCCUUCUGUACCUUCAUGCCAGACCAUCGUUUAUGGUGGACAUCUGGCAGACAUGAUACAGUGCAACCUGCCUUUGGUGUCCCGUCAGGUCGGACAGGCUCUUGUUCUCUGGAGCAGUUUCCCUGCCAAAUGCCAUCAUAUCACAUCUAAGCUGCUUUUUGUGUGUGAUACUGUACUCUGGGAGCACUGAGAGGCUCUCUACCCAAUCCAAGCCUAAACAUGGCACUGCCUCUGUGUGGGUAAAGGCACACACUGGAGGCUGUCAGCUGCUCUGUUCUGCUUUACUCUGUGUCUCCUGCUGCGUAGGGUGCAUCUGUGCACGGCAAAGUGGGCAUGCCUUCUUGUUAAGAAGCCUAUAUGGAACUUGUGCAGCUGCUAUUGCAAAGCGUAACUGGAACUUCUGGAUAUCACCGUUGCCUGAUGCUGCAAAUCUAAGGCCACAAGUUUCAAUGAAGUUACCGAUAAAUAACUGCCACAGACCUGUGAGAUGAAGAGUGUACAGGCCUCCUGCUGCUGCUUUCUGAGGUGAAGACAGAGACUCAGCAUUUAACCCAAGUUGCAGGGCUGCUUGCUGGGUGACACAGAUGCGUUCUCAGUGCCUUGCCAGCACUGCAGGAAUCAGGUGCUUGCGGGGUACAGGGUGAUUUUGUUGUGCCAUUGUGUUGAUGCCAAGUUUCCUCUGGCUUUAAAUGUCUGGCUGACAUUCAUUCUUACAAACACUUUUCUGAUAGGGAAACAAGGUUACGUAGUUGUACUAGAAAUAAAUAAGUAAAAGGUAAAACCUGUAGAAAAUGUCUGGAUAGUCUUUGAAGGAAGAGCACUUUCCUGUAUUCCUUAGGAAGCCUCCUGUAACAAGCAUGGAGAAGGCAAGGAACCAAAAAGAGGAAAGCGUGGAUGAAUUCUGAGUCCCAGCAGAGCAGAAGUUACAGCUGCAGUUCAGAGCAGGUAGGCAUUUACAGUUUUAAUAGAGGUCUUAUCUCUCAGUGCUCUCAAAAUGCUGUGCUUUCUUCUGAAACUCCAUCUCCUCCUCCCUACUGCUGGCUGCAGGGCAGGCACUGCUUUGCAUCCCUAAGUCUGAGUCAGGAUGCGGGAGCA